ACGCUCGACACCUACGGGAGGCAGCAGUGAGGAAUAUUGGUCAAUGGGCGCUAGCCUGAACCAGCCAAGUAGCGUGAAGGAUGAAGGCUCUAUGGGUCGUAAACUUCUUUUAUAUAAGAAUAAAGUGCAGUAUGUAUACUGUUUUGUAUGUAUUAUAUGAAUAAGGAUCGGCUAACUCCGUGCAGCAGGCCGCGGUAAUCUGAGCGGGCUGGCAAGGC
rnacentral:rRNA from 1 species